AUGCAGAAAUGGAAACCACCUCCAGAGGGAAACCUGAAGAUUAAUAUAGAUGGGGCUUUCCUCGAGGCAUCAAAAAUAGGAGGCUGGGGUUUCACGUUGAGAAAUGAUCAAGGAGUUUUAUUGGCUGCUGGUGCGGGUAAGCUGAAGCAUGUAUCUGACCCGCUACAUGCUGAAGCGCUUGCCCUGCAACAUGCUACAAAUAUUGCGAUCAGAAUGGGAUGCCAGCAGGUAAUUUUUGAAACGGAUUCCAUGAUGCUGAAGCAGGCAAUCACCAGUACGGAGUAUGAUUUAUCAAAGUUGGGAUCCUUAUUCCAAGAUGUAAAAUUUCAGAUGCGUGUAGGUUUGAUUGUUGUAAGCUUUGAACAUUGUAAUAGAGAGUGUAACGUAGCAGCACACAUUUUAGCUAUGCAUGGUCUAGGCAUGGAAAAUGACUGCUCUGAGACUUGGCUUGGUAAUUUCCCAGAAUUUGUACUCGAUGCUGUUGUUGGCGAUAUGCCAAAUGUUCUAAUGUAA
rnacentral:rRNA from 1 species